UAUUGUUUUAGUAUGAUGUCAGUUGGCCGGAUUUGAAGUGGAAUGUGUGAAACACAUUUGACUGUUAAUAAUGAAUUUACUCAACACCAUGUGACCAUCAAACCACAACUGACAACUUGGCAUGGAAAAAUGUGUCUAUCAACCUCACUUCAAGGCAGCCGAUAUGGGACCACAAGAACUCUAUGAUCUAUCAGCUCUGCUCAACACUCCAAAGGAUAAACAACUGACUGUGUUGUGAAGUCUGACACUAUUUUGGGGGACAUGUUAUUGCAAGUUAUAUGGAGCUCCUUCAGCCUCCAACUCCUAAUAAAAGAUUCAGAAAUGGACAACAAAUAAAUGACUAAAUUGCCUAAUGUGUUGAGGUUGAUUUGUAAUGUGUUCUUUGUAAUGUAUUGACAGUUGACUCUAUGACUGGGUCUACAUUUUAGAACAGAUUGUUGUGCAUUGUAUGAUUGUUGUGUCAUUGUCUACUGUUUUUUUGUCACUCACAUGGAACAAAAUGAAAAAAAAAACUUGAUAUAAAGCAUUGUUCACGUUUGUGGAAUUAAAGUUCAUGUUAUAUUUGGUUUAAACAGAGGGGUGGUAGCCUAGUGCAUUAGUAUAAACCAGCAAUCAAAAAGCCAACCAAGAUUUUUUUUGGCUCUAAAAUGGGAAAACAUAAAACUUUUAAUUUUGAAAUCAAAAACUUAGAGCCAAUAUAGCUAAACAUGCUGUGCUUGUUUACUUUAAACAUUUAACUCUCUGCUAAGUACUAAUUGCAUUGAUUUUUGCAUCAUUCUCGAAAUAUUUAUGUCAAUGGAGCAUGUUAGAUCUUUGAGUAGCAGCUACUAAAACAUUCAAGAUUUCAUUUUUUCUCAUAACAUUUGUUUUCACAUAACAUGUCUGAUUUUAUGUAAGACUUACGUAAACGUUUUAGUUUUCAACUCAAAUCUUUUGUGUAAACCAUUGUUUCUGUGUAUUUUAGAGUUUGGAG